rnacentral:rRNA from 1 species
CUACGGGGUGCUGCAGUGAGGAAUUUUGCGCAAUGGGGGCAACCCUGACGCAGCAACGCCGCGUGAGUGAAGAAGGCCUUUGGGUCGUAAAGCUCUGUCGACAGGGAAGAAGUUAUUGUUGUUUAACAGAUGACAGUAUUGACGGUACCUGUAGAGGAAGCACCGGCUAACUCCGUGCCAGCAGCCGCGGUAAUACGGGGGGUGCAAGCGUUAUGCGGAAUUAUUGGGCGUAAAGGGCGCGUAGGCGGUCUUGUCGGUCAGAUGUGAAAGCCCAGGGCUCAACCCUGGACGUGCACUUGAAACGGCAAGACUUGAGUACGGGAGAGGAAAGCGGAAUUCCUGGUGUAGAGGUGAAAUUCGUAGAUAUCAGGAGGAACACCGAUGGCGAAGGCAGCUUUCUGGACCGAUACUGACGCUGAGGCGCGAAGGUGUGGGUAGCGAACGGGAUUAGAUACCCUCGUAGUC